AGUGGAUGUAGCUACGGUACAUUUAGCAACACAUGAAGACUAGAAACCGGGGAUUUUACAUGUAACAAAUAUUUCAAGCAACAGAGAUGUAACUUUUGGAAUGGACGCUUUUGUUGCCGGACCCAAGGAAGCGCAGGACUAUGCUGAAACCGAAGUCUUCAUCAUUCCUGGACUCAACAAGUAGGAGCGGAGAGCCGACAAGUGUGUUUUCUCUUGCCUUCUCCCUGCAGCUUCACUUCAGAGCCCGCAGGCUGCAGCCUCAUUGUUACUUCAAAGGUCUUCUCUUUCCACCUCCUACAGAAGCAGUUAAUAGUUGACAUGGAGGGGACUCUGUGGAGGUGCCAGAACAUGAACAAGUCUGUGGAAAAGGAGGAGAAACUGGUGGAGCUGUGGGAAGAACAAAGGC